rnacentral:rRNA from 1 species
UACGUAGGGGGCGAGCGUUGUCCGGAUUUAUUGGGUGUAAAGAGCGUGUAGGCGGUUUGGUAGGUCCGUUGUGAAAACUCGAGGCUCAACCUCGAGACGCCGAUGGAAACCAUCAGACUAGAGUCCGGAAGAGGAGAGUGGAAUUCCUGGUGUAGCGGUGAAAUGCGCAGAUAUCAGGAAGAACACCCGUGGCUAAGGCGGCUCUCUGGGACGGUACUGACGCUGAGACGCGAAAGCGUGGGGAGCGAACAGG